AUGUAUAGCAAUAGCUAAUUGCACCAGUUCAUAACUGGUGCAAUAUCGACUCUGUCGAAUAAAAUUCUAGGUAGAAUUAUGAUAAUGACAUUGUCUGCCUAUAUGUCUUGACCAAAUUACGUGCCAGCAGUCGCGGUAAUACGUAGAAGACUAGUGUUAUUCAUCUUUAGUAGGUUUAAAGGGUACCUAGACGGUAAACCAAGCCUUAAUAGGGACUAGUUUGCUAGAGUUACUUGUGAGGGGGCAUAAAAGUACUAACGGUGUAGAGAUGAAAUUCUGUCAUACCUUUUUUCGAGGGAAUAGCAACGGCACUUAUAUAGGCGAAAGCAUCCCCUUAUGUGAUAACUGACGUUGAGGGACGAAGGCUUUGUGUAGCGAACAGGAUUAGAUACCCUGGUAGUCGAAGCAGAAAAUGAUGAGUGUCAUAGAUUAGGUAAUACUUUAUUCUAUAAAUGAAAGUGUAAGCACUCCACCUCAAGAGUAAUUUGGCAACAUUGGAACUGAAAUCAUUAGACCGUUUCUGAAACCAGUAGUGAAGUAUGUUGUUUAAUUUGAUAUCCCGCAAAGAACCUUACCACAACUUGAAUGUUUAUAUUAUAUAUAAAUACAAGCGUUGCACGGCUGUCUUCAGUUAAUGUCGCGAGAUUAUGGUUAGCUCCAUUAAAUUAACGUAAACCCUUACUUUAUUUGUACAU
rnacentral:rRNA from 1 species